rnacentral:rRNA from 1 species
AUUGAACGCUGGCGGCAGGCCUAACACAUGCAAGUCGAACGAGUGGCGGACGGGUGAGUAAUGUCUGGGAAACUGCCUGAUGGAGGGGGAUAUCUACUGGAAACGGUAGCUAAUACCGCAUACCAUCAGAUGUGCCCAGAUGGGAUUAGCUAGUAGGUGGGGUAAUGGCUCAGCUAGGCGACGAUCCCUCCCUGGUCUGAGAGGAUGACCAGCCACGAUGGAACGGAGACGCGGUCCAGACUCCUACGGGAGACAGCAGUGGGGAAUAUGGCACAAAGGGCGCAAGCCUGAUGCGGACAUGCCGCGUGGGUGAAGAAGGCCUGCGGGUUGUAAAGCACUUGCAGCGAGGAGGCGGUACUCGCAGAAGAAGCACCGGCUAACUCCGUGCCAGCAGCCGCGGUAAUAC